rnacentral:rRNA from 1 species
CCUACGGGAGGCAGCAGUGGGGGAUAUUGCACAAUGGGGGAAACCCUGAUGCAGCGACGCCGCGUGGGUGAAGAAGCGCCUCGGCGCGUAAAGCCCUGUCAGCAGGGAAGAAAAUGACGGUACCUGAAGAAGAAGCCCCGGCUAACUACGUGCCAGCAGCCGCGGUAAUACGUAGGGGGCAAGCGUUAUCCGGAUUUACUGGGUGUAAAGGGGGCGCAGACGGCGUUGCGAGCCAGGAGGGAAAGCCCGGGGCCCAACCCCGGGACUGCUUUUGGAACUGCGUGGCUAGAGUGCAGGAGGGGCAGGCGGAAUUCCUGGUGUAGCGGUGAAAUGCGUAGAUAUCAGGAGGAACACCGGUGGCGAAGGCGGCCUGCUGGACUGCAACUGACGUUGAGGCCCGAAAGCGUGGGGAGCAAACAGGAUUAGAUACCUUAGUAGUC